AACGCGAAGAACCUUACCCAGGUUAGAAGUGCAGUGGGAGUUUCCAGAGAUGGGAACGUCCGCAAGGACCAUUGCAUAGGUGCUGCAUGGCUGUCGUCAGCUCGUGCCGUGAGGUGUUGGGUUAAGUCCCGCAACGAGCGCAACCCUUAUCAUUAGUUGCCAGCAUUUAAGGUGGGAACUCUAAUGAGACUGCCCAGGUUAACUGGGAGGAAGGUGAGGAUGACGUCAAGUCCGCAUGGCCUUUAUGUCUGGGGCUACACACGUGCUACAAUGGACGGUACAGAAGGCAGCAAAUUCGCAAGAUAGAGCAAAUCCGUAAAGCCGUUCACAGUUCGGAUUGUAGUCUGCAACUCGACUACAUGAAGUUGGAAUUGCUAGUAAUGGCGUGUCAGCAACAACGCCGUGAAUACGUUCCCGGGCCUUGUACACACCGCUCGCGA
rnacentral:rRNA from 1 species